AGCCGUGUGGUGAGCACAAAGUGAACUAUUCUUUAGCCUUUUACUAAAGAAUACUGUGUGCUCUCCACUUCAAACGGCAUACACCUAUUUUUGGAGGAUUUACUUCCUCUGAAGUUU
rfam:Arabidopsis lyrata subsp. lyrata unplaced genomic scaffold ARALYscaffold_3, whole genome shotgun sequence.